rnacentral:rRNA from 1 species
AGCGAACGCUGGCGGCAUGCUUAACACAUGCAAGUCGCACGGGCAGCAAUGUCAGUGGCGGACGGGUGAGUAACGCGUAGGUAUCUAUCCUUGGGUGGGGGACAACUGUGGGAAACUACAGCUAAUACCGCAUGAUGACCGAGGUCUAAAGGCGCAAGUCGCCUGGGGCGGAGCCUGCGUACGAUUAGCUUGUUGGUGGGGUAAAGGCCUACCAAGGCGACGAUCGUAGCUGGUCUGAGAGGAUGAUCAGCCACAUUGGGACUGAGACACGGCCCAAACUCCUACGGGAGGCAGCAGU